UUUUCAGAUGAAAAUGACUAGUAUUGCUGCAGCCUCUUGGUAAAUAGCAUCUUGCAGGCAUAUGAUGAAUUAAUAGCUUUUAGGUGAAAAGGCCUUCGGGGCUGUAGUAAGGAAACAGUAUUCAGUAGGGUACCCUGUCAUCAAAUCCAUGCCCAGUUGGCACAAGUUUACCAAGUUUAGCUUCAGGUAGGUAGCUGUGUUGGUCUGACGCAGUUGAAAUAAAUAAAUAAAAUUAAAAAAUUGUCCAGUCCAGUAACACCUUAGAGACCAACUAAGUUUGUUCUGGGUAUAAGCUUUCAUGUAUCUGAAGAAGUGUGCAUGCACAUGAAAGCUUAUACCCAGAACAAACUUAGAUGGUCUCUAAGGUGCUACUGGAUAUUUUAAAAAUAUUUUUUUUUAGUUAGCUGUUAUAUCAUAGCACACACAUUUGUUCAGUUUGCUCAGUUGAGAACACAUCUUUGAAUGCGUUCAGCCUAUAUUUGUUGUUAUAUGGGAUUCAAAAAGGUAUAUCACAUCCAUCUGUCCAUAUACUGUAUGAUUAUACUUGAAAGUGUGGCUUUGAAAAACUGUCAGAAGGAAGAAGAAUGUUUAAGUCUGCAAUCUUAUGUACACACUUUCCUGGGAGAUAAACUCUACUGAACACAGUUGAAAUUUAGUUCUGAGUAAACAUGCAUACGAUUGAGCCCUACGUCUGCUACCCUGUAUACAUACCAAGUCCCAUUCCAUAGGAUUGGGCUGUAAAAUACAUACAAUUUUAUAUAGCAUGUAGCACACUUACCAUAAGGUUUUGUGGUUAUAAGUUGAUUAAUAAGUAAUUGAUGACAACCUUAAAUCACGGGUCUCUAGCAUAAUUUGCAUCAGGAAGCGUUCAUUAAAUAAAUGCUGCACCUUAUUGGCUUUGCCUGUGCUGUUUGAGGGGGGAGGAAUCUUUUCACCAAAUUGUAGAAAUGUGGUUGGCUUCACAUUUCAUAUAUGUGCUUCAUGCCCACUCUAAUAUAGAAAGGAAUUGUUUCAGAUAAGCCUUAAUGUUGUUAAAGAAGCGCAUUUUUUAAACAGCUGGCAUUAUCUAUCAGAAUACUUGUUCAGAUUAAAGCGCCAGACUGGACUGUCAAGUCUUUAAACCCAGAAAAAGAACAUUUUAUUCCACCCCACUUUAUUCGUUUGCUAGGGUAAUAAUACGUAUGUCUAACAAUCCACUCCAUAACACAGUUCAGUGACAUUACUCCACUUCAGUGGGUUAUAUUGACUUUAAUCCAACGGGUUUCACUUAACCUGAGUGAGCUGCACCUUGAGCUUUAAAUGUUGCAUUACAGCCAUCUCCUAUCCACUAAAGGUAAAAGGUAAAGGACCCCUGACAGUUAAGUCCAGUCAUGAACGACUCUGGGGUUGCGGCGCUCAUCUUGCUUUACUGGCCAAGGGAGCCGAUGUUUGUCUGCAGACAGUUUUUCCGGGUCAUGUGGCCAGCAUGACUAAACCGCUUCUGGCGAAACUAGAACAGCGCACGGAAAUGCCGUUUACCUUUCCGCUGGAGCAGUACCUAUUUAUCUACUUGCACUUUGACGUGCUUUCAAACUGCUAGGUUGGCAGGAGCAGGGACUGAGCAACGGGAGCUCAGCCCAUCGCAGGGAUUCGAACCUCCAGCCUUCCGAUCAGCAAGCCCUAGGCUCUGUGGUUUAGACCACAGCACCACCCUCGUCCCUUCUCCUAUCCACUAGAUAACAAUAAACUGCUAGCAUAAUUACCAAAAGGUUAAUUAACCAAAGGUGGGUGGGAGGCUAGGUUUUCGUUUUUGAUAAGUUAAAGCAGACUUGAUAACAUGGCUAUGGCAGAUCAGCCAAUAUUGUGUUUAAGUGUGCCCUGUCAGGAGAAUAAUAGAAGUGCCAAAGGGGGUGGAAGCCACUCAGUAUUGGUGUAGAAAAAGCUGCAUGUGCCCUGUGAUACACUUAGUGCAUCGUUCUGUGAAUAUGCACAGCACUGGGAGAACCAAGACAAAUCGUGACAAUGCGCAAGAACUGAGGUCACAUAGGCCCCUCUCUUUUAAUUCGUACUUUAAUUGAAACGAAUCCUAGUUAACAGGCUUGAAGCAGUCCAUAAUUCCCAC